rnacentral:rRNA from 1 species
AUACGAAGGGGGCUAGCGUUGUUCGGAAUUACUGGGCGUAAAGAGCAUGUAGGCGGAUUGUCAAGUCAGAGGUGAAAGCCCAGGGCUCAACCUUGGAACUGCCUUUGAAACUGACAAUCUAGAGACUCGGAGGGGAUGGCGGAAUUCCUAAUGUAGGGGUGAAAUCCGUAGAUAUUAGGAGGAACACCGGUGGCGAAGGCGGCCAUCUGGACGAGUACUGACGCUGAGAUGCGAAAGCGUGGGGAGCAAACAGGAUUAGAAACCCUAGUAGUCC